rnacentral:tRNA from 1 species
UGGCUGAGUGAUAAAGCGCUUGGCUUCGAACCAAAGGUCCUGGGUUCAAAUCCUGG